UAGAUUGACCCCAUAUUAGAUUUCACAGCAUUUCUCGUGCUAUUCAUCUUCUUACUUCCACCUUCCUCUUCUUCUUCCAUCUUCUCCGACAACGGCGACGGCGACGGCGAAGGCGAAGACCACCGCCACCACGUUUUACAAAUUUUCUGUCAUUCUUUUCCAUCUUCUUCUACCUUCCACCUUCUUCUUCUUCUAUCUUCUCCGACUCAGCUUUUCCCUCCGUUCAGAUUACAAACCAUUGUUCCUUCUCUCCCUCCUUUCAUUGCUAUUCUCUCUUAUUUGAUCCAAAUUGAAAACCGUAUUCAUUUUUUUUUUUAUAAACGAAAACCCUAUUCCUUAAUAUCAGAUUCAAAACCAUAUGGAGAGAACCCUAACUUUUGUUUACCCCAAAUUUCGUAACAUGAC
rnacentral:lncRNA from 1 species